UUCCUAUAUAGCAGCAGGUGGUGCACUAUGACAGGUGUAAAUAAACACCUGUCAUAAUGCACCUUUAAAUUCAGUCUCUCUGAAUGGACCCUCCUCGGUGUGUCGCCGCCUGCUGGCCGCUCCGGAGAAGACACCAGAGAGAGGAGAGCAAGCACUGAGAGAGAGAGAGAGAGAGAGAGAGAGAGAGAGAGAGAGAGAGAGAGAGAGAGAGAGAGAGAGAGAGAGAGAGAGAGAGAGAGCAUGUCGCCUCCUGUAGCUGCAGCUCACUGUGGGAUCCGCUGUCGACCUUUCACUCUUUAGAAAUGCACGCGGGAAGCUUUUGGACCCGUUUACCUGCUGAGUGCGAGCUCGAGCCAUGGACACCGCCGCGCGCUUUAACACCGUGAAAUAACCCAAGUCACAACUGCCUCUCCUUCUUCUUCUUUGGUUUUGUUUUCAGGGCUGUCUGGUCCGGCCGGGGUUUGACACUGUUCAGCAACUUGGCAGGCGGGUCGCUGGUUGCGGCUGCGGCGCGGCGCGGGUGGGAAGGAGGGGAGGCGGACACCGUCAGAGCCGCUUGCGCUGAAAAAGUGGGGAACAAGUGUCAGAGAGCAGAGCAACAGAUGUUUUUCACGGAUAUGCGAGCGACCACGGAGGAAUGAGAGCUCCAGCGAGGCGCCGGCGGCCCUUCCAGCGGUUCUGCUGCUGCGGAGUCGGGCUGCUCGCGGUCAUUUGGCUCGCGCAGGUCAUCCAUGCACCAGAGACAGAAUCGUCUGGGUUUCAGCCAGGCAUGAAUGGAGGGCUGCUGCAUUCGACACGCAGGCUGCUGCAGGACGGGACGGACAACCAGACCCUGGGUCACCCCAGAGCAGCUAUCCAUGAGUUUCCACAGGACAUCUUUAACAAGGAGCAGAGGCAGAGGGGGG
rnacentral:lncRNA from 1 species